rnacentral:rRNA from 1 species
UACGAGUGCCCCAAGCGUUAUCCGGAAUCAUUGGGCGUAAAGGGUGUGUAGGUGGUAGUGUUAGUCUCAUGUCAAAUUCUUCGGCUUAACCGGGGUACUGCAUGGGAUACGGCACAACUAGAGGAUGCGAGGGGUCUGUAGAACUCAUGGAGUAGGGGUGAAAUCCGUUGAUAUCAUGGGGAAUACCGAAAGCGAAGGCAGCAGGCUGGCGCAAUCCUGACACUGAAACACGAAAGCGUGGGUAGCGAAUGGG